CGCCAUCAUCAUCAUCAUCAUCGUGGUCAUCGUCCUCUUCGUCGUCGUCAUCAUCAUUAUUCUCGUCUGGCUGUGGAAUGGUUCUCCGGUUGUGUAGAAUGGCACAUACAGUGAUGACUAUGCUUGCGCUCUCUGGUGUGAGGCGUAUUUCGCCGUGGAGGACAUGAAACCGUCGUUUCAUCUGCCCAAUUCCUCUCUCCACAACAUUUCGUGUAUGUUUGUGUGCUCUAGCAUGUAUGGAGGAAAACAGUAAACAAUAGUAAAUAUGGAUUCAACAAAUACAAGGCGCCAAAGAGCAAAUACGAUGUGCUUUACGCAUGAUUUAAGCGUAAUCUGCGUAAUCCCUUACAUGUUAUACUUUAACUGUGCUCCCGGUUGUGGAUUGAGGUAGGGUGUCAAGAGCCACGUCUUGCAGGGAUAGCCACUGUCACCCAGCAAGUGAUACCCAACUGGUACGUCUCAAAAAUCUGCCUCAGACCGCUCUCCAUUAAAAUGUGUGAAUCAGGGGUAGCUCCAUGCCACUUUGCAACAACAUCCAGUAGGCUAUGUUAAAAUUUGCAUCAAAAACAACCUGCGUGUUGAUGGAAUGCACUUUCUUCCUAUUGACGAACACAUCCUCAUCUUUUGAUGGCGCAAUUAUUUUUAUGUGCGUCCCGUCAAUAGCACCGACCACACCGGACAUACCUGCAAUUGCCAUGAAGUUGGCUUUGAUCCUGUGUAAUUGUUGAAUGUCCAAAGGAAACCGGAUAAACUGUUGGAUGAUAUGUGGUCUAGUGAGCGCGUUGAUAGUUUGGUUUAUGGCACGGCUGACUGAUGGUUGCGAUAUUUUUAAAUCGUCGGCAUUGCAAAGUUGCAUUUCCCCUGUUGCUAAAUAACGUAGUGUGGCCAAACAUUUUAUUUCGGGACUAAUCGGAUUAUUCCUGUUAGUCGGGGAUGUUAUUGCAUCCCGCACUAACUCCACAACAAGUUUAAUACCCUCACGAUUUAGCCUAUAUCUCUUCAUCAACUCACAGUCUUCCAUUGUCUCCAAAACAUUUCGUCUCGCAGCCAUUUUACGAUUCUUUGUGAAUAGGUCUUACUGAGUUAGGAGUCCUCUUGAGGACUUUUAGGCUCUCCUAGACUUAGGUGCUACUUUUAGGCCUAAAAUACUUUGUGAAUUGCUCCUAGUGAAAAAAGUUAGGAGUCCUCAAUUUAAGAGUGACAUGCCCAUUAUUUUUAGGAGUUACUCCUAAAUUCGCCAGUUAGGAAAUACUUUUAGCCCUAAGAUCCUUUGUGAAUACGGCCCCUGAUCUACUAAAUCGAAAAAUAGAUGGCCAGUGACUGCCAUAAUAAUUGCAUGUUUGAUUAUUGUUCAAACAGGGUAAGCAAUCCUAUCGUCGGGGACUGAGGUCUGUUUGUUUAUCCCUGAGGCAAGAACCCAACACGUACCACACUCAAAGUUCUUUGUAAAUGUCUAUGCCAGCAUUCCGUCCUCGACAAAAGAAGGCAAGAAACAAUCAGCUAACCAGGGUCUCGCCCAAAUAGCGCAGGGCUCAACAAUAAAGAUUGCCCGACGUCCCAGGGCAAGUAAAACGCCACGUCGGGCAAGUAACUAUGACAACCCACUUGCCCAUUCGGGUGAGUGGAGGACUCGAAGCAAAAAAAACAAAAAACGAUCAUCAUCGAUUAAGUUAUUAUGUUGCCCCCUCCCCUUGCCCUCGUCGGAUAAUGCUUGUAUUGCUUGGUGUACUAUUUGAUUUUAUUUGAAUAUGGCUUCGGCCAAUCAAAAUCGAGAUUGCGAGACUCCCGGCAGGUAGCGGGCACGCUUUUAUUUUGAAAAUCUGUGUCUCAAGAAAAGUGCAUUUUUUUUUUAUAUAUUAUAGGCUAUACUAGUUGUGUAAUUGUUUUAUUAGAGCUAUGUUAUGGUGCUUAGGUUCAAGGUGUGUGCGUGGCUGUGAUUUUAAAAACAAAUCUGGGGGAAUGAAUUUGGAUUAAAUGUUGUGAGUGACGGCUAUGAAGUUAUAGUAAGAUUCAUGAAAGCUAUCCAUUUAGUCUCUUUUAAGGGUUUGCCAUGGUCAUAUUUGAUGACCUUUGGGAACCAUUUUUGAGCAUCCUAAAGGCCAAAACCUUCUUCAGUGUCCUGGCAGUCUCUGCCACUGAUGUGAGCACCCGUGACCUCAAGGGGGUGUACGUCAGCAGAAGAUCUGGAAGCCGACCAAUCUGGGGGGAACAAGGUGGCUCCCACAUAUUAGACCCUCAUGAAGGACUAUCCUGUUGUGUUGGCACACAUGGAGAACACAAUUGAGACGAGAUCUGCCAGCAUCUGCCACAUGAUCGGGAGAGCCAAACAGUGUGUCCAGAUCCUGAAGGACUACAGCCGUCUACUGUUUGUGGUCCUGGUUCAGGAUAUCCUGCAUGUUUAGAGCUGAUUGAAGAGCCAACUCCUUGACGAGGUCAUCCAAAGACUGAGGAGCCGGUAGAAGAGCCUGGAAUCUGACAAAAUUCUUCUAGCGGCUGCAAGGUUGGUGGACCCAAGGGAGUGGCCCACAGAGGAGGCAGAGCUGGCCAGCUUUGGAGCAGACCAUCUACUUGUGAUCACAGAACACUUUGCCGAGAUACUGGGUAGGGCAGGCUGUGACAGGAGUCAGGCAAGACACCAAGAGUUGCCCAGUGCCCAAGUGGUCAUAAAAGCGAUGCCCCAGGCUCAACAAACCAAGGUAUGGGCAGACUUUUUUAAAGAUCGUGACAGGCUACAGAGCUUCCCAAACCUGCUGAUGGUGGUUGAGCUAAUCCUCGUGCUCCCACUCUCCACUGCUGCUUGUGAGUGUGGCUUCAGUGCAAUGAAACGCGUAAAAACUGACUGUGUUGCAGCCUUUCAGUUGAUAUGCUGUGGAAACUGCUAUACAUUAGCAUCGAGGGGCCAGCAGUUGCCAACUUCAAUGCGGAACGUGUUGUAGGAUGAUGGCUGUCAGUAGGUCAGAGAGCACGUCGGGUGUGAGGGGAUUAUUAUUUAUUUGAGUGCCAAAGUUUAAAAUAUGGGAUAAAACCUCAAAACGAAAAAAUACAAAUGUUCCAACAAUGUCAGAUGCAUUCAAACAUUGUGAAUAAAGAUAAAAUAUAACAAUUUACCUGAAACGUUGUCGUUAUUUGAUCAUUUGAUAAAUAAUAAAAAAAACUAUUUAUAUUUGGGGCCAGUGAAAAUUGACUUUGGG
ensembl:lncRNA